UUGCACGCUGGCGGCAGGCCUAACCCAUGCAAGUCGAACGGUAACAGGAAGCAGCUUGCUGCUUUGCUGACGAGUGGCGGACGGGUGAGUAAUGUCUGGGAAACUGCCUGAUGGAGGGGGAUAACUACUGGAAACGGUAGCUAAUACCGCAUAACGUCGCAAGACCAAAGAGGGGGACCUUCGGGCCUCUUGCCAUCGGAUGUGCCCAGAUGGGAUUAGCUAGUAGGUGGGGUAACGGCUCACCUAGGCGACGAUCCCUAGCUGGUCUGAGAGGAUGACCAGCCACACUGGAACUGAGACACGGUCCAGACUCCUACGGGAGGCAGCAGUGGGGAAUAUUGCACGAUGGGCGCAAGCCUGAUGCAGCCAUGCCGCGUGUAUGAAGAAGGCCUUCGGGUUGUAAAGUACUUUCAGCGGGGAGGAAGGGAGUAAAGUUAAUACCUUUGCUCAUUGACGUUACCCGCAGAAGAAGCACCGGCUAACUCCGUG
rnacentral:rRNA from 1 species